rnacentral:rRNA from 1 species
UGGGGGAAUAUUGGACAAUGGGGGGCAACCCCUGAUCCAGCCAUGCCGCGUGAGUGAUGAAGGCCUUCGGGUUGUAAAGCUCUUUUGGGCGGGGACGAUGAUGACGGUACCCGCAGAAUAAGCCCCGGCUAACUUCGUGCCAGCAGCCGCGGUAAGACGAAGGGGGCUAGCGUUGUUCGGAAUUACUGGGCGUAAAGCGAGUGUAGGCGGUUGCCGUAGUCAGGUGUGAAAGCCUUGAGCUCAACUCAAGAAAUGCACUUGAUACUGGGUGACUAGAGGACCGGAGAGGGAUAGUGGAAUUCCCCAGUGUAGUGGUGAAAUACGUAGAGAUUGGGAAGAACACCAGUGGCGAAGGCGGCUAUCUGGACGGUUACUGACGCUAAGACUCGAAAGCGUGGGGAGCAAACAGGAUUAGAUACCCUGGUAGUCCACGCCGUAAACGAUGGGUGCUAGACGUUGGCGAGCUUGCUCGUCAGUGUCGCAGCUAACGCGUUAAGCACCCCCGCCUGGGGAGUACGGCCGCAAGGUUGAAANUCAAAUGAAUUGCGGGGGUCUAGC